GACGAACGCUGGCGGCGUGCCUAAUACAUGCAAGUAGAACGCUGAAGGAGGAGCUUGCUUCUCUGGAUGAGUUGCGAACGGGUGAGUAACGCGUAGGUAACCUGCCUGGUAGCGGGGGAUAACUAUUGGAAACGAUAGCUAAUACCGCAUAAGAGUAGAUGUUGCAUGACAUUUGCUUAAAAGGUGCAAUUGCAUCACUACCAGAUGGACCUGCGUUGUAUUAGCUAGUUGGUGGGGUAACGGCUCACCAAGGCGACGAUACAUAGCCGACCUGAGAGGGUGAUCGGCCACACUGGGACUGAGACACGGCCCAGACUCCUACGGGAGGCAGCAGUAGGGAAUCUUCGGCAAUGGACGGAAGUCUGACCGAGCAACGCCGCGUGAGUGAAGAAGGUUUUCGGAUCGUAAAGCUCUGUUGUAAGAGAAGAACGAGUGUGAGAGUGGAAAGUUCACACUGUGACGGUAUCUUACCAGAAAGGGACGGCUAACUACGUGCCAGCAGCCGCGGUAAUACGUAGGUGGCAAGCGUUAUCCGGAUUUAUUGGGCGUAAAGAGAGUGCAGGCGGUUUUCUAAGUCUGAUGUGAAAGCCUUCGGCUUAACCGGAGAAGUGCAUCGGAACUGGAUAACUUGAGUGCAGAAGAGGGUAGUGGAACUCCAUGUGUAGCGGUGGAAUGCGUAGAUAUAUGGAAGAACACCAGUGGCGAAGGCGGCUACCUGGUCUGCAACUGACGCUGAGACUCGAAAGCAUGGGUAGCGAACAGG
rnacentral:rRNA from 1 species